CCUUCGAUAGCUCAGUUGGUAGAGCGGAGGACUGUAGUGGUGUGAGUUGCGGCAAUCCUUAGGUCGCUGGUUCGAUUCCGGCUCGAAGGA
rfam:Canis lupus familiaris chromosome 17, whole genome shotgun sequence.